UACGAGAGGCCCAAACGUUAUUCGGAUUUACUGGGCUUAAAGAGUUCGUAGGCGGCGCAGAAAGUAGGGUGUGAAAGCCCUCGGCCUAACCGAGGAAUUGCGCUCUAAACUACUGUGCUUGAGGAAUCUAGAGGUGAGCGGAACUGAUGGUGGAGCGGUGAAAUGCGUUGAUAUCAUCAGGAACACCGGAGGCGAAGGCGGCUCACUGGGGAUUUUCUGA
rnacentral:rRNA from 1 species